rnacentral:pre_miRNA from 1 species
CCUUUUCUGUUGGAGUACAUCUGAUUCCCGCACUAAUGUGAGUUAUGGGAUCUCAUGUACUUUUAUAGGUGAUUUA